CCGCUCCCCGCGCGCCCAUUGGCCCGCGCGGCCGUCAGUCAGCGGCCGGGCCCAUCUCGCGCUCCCCAUUCAUGCAGUUUGGUUGCGUGACGGUCGGAACAGUUUUUUUUUCGCCGCUUCCAUUUAUUUUCGAUAUCUUAUCUCUAUUAGGUUUUGCAAUCAACUAUUAAGGUGCAACUAUGCC